AGUGAACGCUGGCGGUAUGCCUAACACAUGCAAGUCGAACGGCAGCACAGUAAGAGCUUGCUCUUACGGGUGGCGAGUGGCGGACGGGUGAGGAAUACAUCGGAAUCUACUUUUUCGUGGGUGAUAACGUAGGGAAACUUACUCUAACACCUCAUACGACCUACUGCUGAAUGCAGGGGAUCUUCGGACCCUGCGUGAUUGAUUUAGCCGAUUUCGGAUUAGCUAGUUGGCUGGGUAAAGGCCAACCAAGGCGACGCUCCGUAGCUGGUCUGAGAGGAUGAUCGGCCACACUGGAACUGAGACACGGUCCAGACUCCUACGGGAGGCAGCAGUAGGGAAUAUUGGGCAAUGGGAGAAAGCCUGAUCCAGCCAUACCGCGUGAGUGAAGAAGGCCUUCGGGUUGUAAAGCCCUUUUGUUGGGAAAGAAAAGCAGCAGGUUAAUACCCCGCUGUUCUGACGGUACCCAAAGAAUAAGCACCGGCUAACUUCGUG
rnacentral:rRNA from 1 species